rnacentral:rRNA from 1 species
AUUGACCGCUAGCGGGAUGCUUUACACAUGCAAGUCGACCGAGUGGCGGACGGGUGUGUAAUAUAUCGUAACUUGCCCUGUAGCGGGGGAUAACUACUCGAAAGAGUGGCUAAUACCGCAUACUCUUGGAGCGGCCGAUAUCGGCUUAGCUAGUUGGUGGGGUAAAGGCUCACCAAGUCAACGAUCCGUAGCUGGUUUGAGUGGACGACCAGCCACACUGGGACUGAGACACGGCCCAGACUCCUACGGGAGGCAGCAGUGGGGAAUUUUGGACAAUGGGGGAAACCCUGAGCCAGCCAUGCCGCGUGUAUGAGAAGGCCUUCGGGUUGUAAAGUACUUUUGGCAGAGAAGCGGUAUAUGCAGAAGAAGCACCGGCUAACUACGUGCCAGCAGCCGCGGUAAUAC